GACAGAGGUGCCAAGCGUUAGGCGGAAUCACUGGGCUUAAAGCGUGUGUAGGCGGAUCGUUAAGUACCUUGUGAAAUCCCACGGCUUAACCGUGGAACUGCUCGGUAUACUGGCGGUCUUGAGCAACCUAGGGGCGAGCGGAACAAAUGGUGGAGCGGUGAAAUGCGUAGAUAUGUCAUAGAACACCGAUUGCGAAGGCAGCUCACAAAGCCACUAUUGACGCUGAGGCACGAAAGCGUGGGGAUCAAACAGG
rnacentral:rRNA from 1 species